GACGAACGCUGGCGGCGUGCCUAAUACAUGCAAGUCGAACGAACCGCGACUAGGUGCUUGCACUUGGUCAAGGUGAGUGGCGAACGGGUGAGUAACACGUGGGUAACCUACCUCAUAGUGGGGGAUAACAGUCGGAAACGACUGCUAAUACCGCAUAGGACAUGGAAUCACAUGAUUCUGUGAGGAAAGGUGGCGCAAGCUAUCGCUAAGAGAUGGACCCGCGGUGCAUUAGCUAGUUGGUAGGGUAACGGCCUACCAAGGCGAUGAUGCAUAGCCGACCUGAGAGGGUGAUCGGCCACAUUGGGACUGAGACACGGCCCAAACUCCUACGGGAGGCAGCAGUAGGGAAUUUCCGCAAUGGACGCAAGUCUGACGGAGCAACGCCGCGUGAGUGAAGAAGGUCUUCGGAUCGUAAAGCUCUGUUGUUAGAGAAGAACAGCGCAUAGAGUAAACU
rnacentral:rRNA from 1 species